UACGUAGGGUGCAAGCGUUGUCCGGAAUCAUUGGGCGUAAAGAGCUCGUAGGCGGUCUGUCGCGUCUGCUGUGAAAACCUGGGGCUUAACCCUGGGCUUGCAGUGGGUACGGGCAGACUAGAGUGCGGUAGGGGAGACUGGAAUUCCUGGUGUAGCGGUGAAAUGCGCAGAUAUCAGGAGGAACACCGGUGGCGAAGGCGGGUCUCUGGGCAUUAACUGACGCUGAGGAGCGAAAGCAUGGGGAGCGAACAGG
rnacentral:rRNA from 1 species